AUAUUCGGGGCAGGGUGAAAUUCCCGACCGGCGGUAUUAAGACUUGAUCUUUAAGCCCGCGAGAGUGAUCUGAUUUGGUGAGAUUCCAAAGCCGACAGUAAAGUCUGGAUGGGAGAAUA
rnacentral:ncRNA from 1 species